GGACAGGCGGCGCCGCCCGGGACCCCCGGCAGUUCCCAGCUUUACUCUCUUCCGGAGGACAGGAAGAGGAACCCGGCUGCUCCUCGGCUGGCUCAGAGCUCCCACAUGCCAGCGGUGGGAGCUGGCUUCCCCACCCUGCCCACUUAAGCCCGGGAGAGCUGGAGCAGCACGGAGGGAGGGCAGCGGUGCAGCCGCUAAGACGGGAGCAGGGGGAAUUGACAGCUGCCCCUCCUCACCAGACUAAAAAAAUACCCAGGUGGCUUUUCAGUUUUGGAUUAUCUUUAUUUUACAGUUUAUAAAAAGCUUUUCCCAAUG